UACGUAGGACCCGAGCGUUGUCCGGAUUUACUGGGUAUAAAGGGUGCGCAGGCGGCCGUGUGCGUCAGAGGUGAAAUCUCCGGGCUUAACCCGGAGGGUGCCUUUGAUACGGCAUGGCUUGAGUCCGAGAGAGGGUGAUGGAAUUCCUGGUGUAGCAGUGAAAUGCGUAGAUAUCAGGAGGAACACCGGUGGCGAAGGCGGUCACCUGGCUCGGAACUGACGCUGAGGCACGAAAGCGCGGGGAUCAAACAGG
rnacentral:rRNA from 1 species